rnacentral:rRNA from 1 species
UACGGAGGGUGCAAGCGUUAUCCGGAUUUACUGGGCGUAAAGGGUGCGUAGGUUGUUAAUUAAGUUUCUGGUAUAAGUGCAGUGCUCAACGCUGUGACGCUAGAAAAACUGGUUAGCUAGAGUGAGACAGAGGUAAGUGGAAUUCCAUGUGUAGCGGUAAAAUGCGUAAAUAUAUGGAGGAACACCAGUGGCGAAGGCGGCUUACUGGGUCUCAACUGACGCUGAUGCACGAAAGCGUGGGGAGCAAACAGG